GGGCGGGUGGCCGCAGGCCUAACACAUGCAAGUCGAGCGGUAGCACAGAGAGCUUGCUCUCGGGUGACGAGCGGCGGACGGGUGAGUAAUGUCUGGGAAACUGCCUGAUGGAGGGGGAUAACUACUGGAAACGGUAGCUAAUACCGCAUAACGUCGCAAGACCAAAGUGGGGGACCUUCGGGCCUCAUGCCAUCAGAUGUGCCCAGAUGGGAUUAGCUAGUAGGUGGGGUAAUGGCUCACCUAGGCGACGAUCCCUAGCUGGUCUGAGAGGAUGACCAGCCACACUGGAACUGAGACACGGUCCAGACUCCUACGGGAGGCAGCAGUGCGGAAUAUUGCACAAUGGGCGCAAGCCUGAUGCAGCCAUGCCGCGUGUAUGAAAAAGGCCUUCGGGUUGUAAAGUACUUUCAGCGAGGAGGAAGGCAUUAAGGUUAAUAACCUUAGUGAUUGACGUUACUCGCAGAAGAAGGACCGGCUAACUCCGUGCCAGCAGCCGCGGUAAUACGGAGGGUGCAAGCGUUAAUCGGAAUUACUGGGCGAAAAGCGCACGCAGGCGGUCUGUUAUGCCCCCCUUCAUUUGGUAGGCGGAAGCA
rnacentral:rRNA from 1 species